GGUCCCUUCGUCUAGUGGUCAGGACACCAGGUUUUCAUCCUGAUAACAGGGGUUCGAUUCCCCUAGGGACUA
rnacentral:tRNA from 1 species